UACGCUGUUAUCCCUAAAGUAACUUUGUCUUAUAAUCUCUAUUAAGGAUCUUUCCAAUCAACAAUAUUUGUUAUUAAAAAGAACAGUUACUUAUAUAUUCCUAUCGCCCCAAUAAAAUACUAAUAAAUUAUUUCUUACUAAACAAACAAUUAUAAUAAAAAAUCUAAUUUAUAUAAAGUUUUAUAGGGUCUUAUCGUCCCUUUCUAAUAUUUAAGCCUUUUCACUUAAAAGUUAAAUUCAAUUUUUAUCAAUAAGACAGUUUAUUUUUCAUUCAACCUUUCAUACAAGCCUUCAAUUAAAAG
rnacentral:rRNA from 1 species